rnacentral:sRNA from 1 species
AAGUCUCCCCUCGAGAGCGGGCCGAUCACACCCUUUGUGAACCACACUCUGUUGCUUCGGGGCGACCCUGCCGUCAGGGGCGGUCUUCAACUAAACUCUGCAUCUUUUGCUCGGAGUCUUUUAAAGAAUUAAACAAAACUUUCAACAACGGAUCUCUUGGUUCUGGCAUCGAUGAAGAACGCAGCGAAAUGCGAUAAGUAAUGUGAAUUGCAGAAUUCAGUGAAUCAUCGAAUCUUUGAACGCACAUUGCGCCCCGUGGUAUUCCGCGGGGCAUGCCUGUUCGAGCGUCAUUUCACCACUCAAGCCUAGCUUGGUAUUGGGCGCCGCGGCGAUCUCCAUCGCUGCGCGCCUUAAAGUCUCCGGCUGAGCAGUCUGUCUCCGAGCGUUGUGACACAUGUCGCUAGGGAGUGCAGGUCUGCCGCGGCCGUUAAAUCUUUAUCAAAGG